rfam:Apaloderma vittatum contig38062, whole genome shotgun sequence.
GGCCGGUUAGCUCAGUCAGUUGAGUGUAGCGCUAGCAACGCUAAGGUUGUGGGUUCGAUUCCCAGUCGGUCCG